rnacentral:ncRNA from 1 species
AUGAAAACGUUGAUGGAGAAAGUACAUUUGAGAAGCUUGCAAAAGAAAGAGGUUCCUUGGCUGAAAGAACCUUCAAGUGGAUGUUAUGGAAAGCUACUCCUGAGUGCAGCUAAUCACUGCCGUAAGCCGCGUUAAGGCAUAAUCGAGAGACAGCAAAUUCGUUUGCUGUAACUAGGGUGGUACCGCGAAUUGAAGCCUUCGUCCCUUUU